rnacentral:rRNA from 1 species
UACGGGGGGGCAAGCGUUGUUCGGAAUUACUGGGCGUAAAGGGUUCGUAGGUGGCUGGCUAAGUCAGACGUGAAAUCCCUCAGCUUAACUGGGGAACUGCGUCUGAGACUGGCGAGCUUGAGUGCAGGAGAGGAACGCGGAAUUCCAGGUGUAGCGGUGAAAUGCGUAGAUAUCUGGAGGAACACCGGUGGCGAAGGCGGCGUUCUGGACUGUAACUGACACUGAGGAACGAAAGCCAGGGUAGCAAACGGG